AUUUGGGCUACCUUUUUUACCACUAGGGCGGUUUCCCCACCCAAAAAGUUAGUCAAUAUUCCAGGGGUUUAGACUGAAAGGUGAGGCAAAGCUCAUCGGUCUCUACAUCGAAGGGCACUGCAUCAUUCUCCAAAUGAAAGCUGCUGGGCUCACUGCAUCCCACCCAGCCAAUAGGAGUGCGGUUGAAGGAAGGCCGACAGUCGAUCUCAUGUUGGUACACCACUGAGAGUUCAGGCUCCUGUUUGGUUGCCUCAGAGUCUGGUAGCUGGAAUUUCAGGAACUGGUUGGCCCUAUCGAAGCCGCCGUAGGGCAUGGCAGACCUAGCAAAGCAAGCUCCUUUUGCUCAACUGGAGGAGGCAUUGCCAUUUUCAGAGUGGCUAUCAGACUCUCAUCACCCUUCAUGGCCUUCUCCCAAGGCGACACAUACGUUUUCAAAUGAAUAUGCU